rnacentral:lncRNA from 1 species
GCCAUUGAAAACAUGUUUCAAAUUUCAAGUUGAUCCCAUCAUGGGUGUUGGACAGCCUGUGAUGAGCUAUAAAAAUGGCUACUGUGUGAUAAAUUAUACUUAUUCCAUGUGCAAUAUGGAAGCUUAAUUAAUCUAAGCUAACCCAGCUCAGACUCAAAAAAAUAAAAAAUAAAAAAAAAUAACCCAUCAAAAAUCCUCUUCCAGUUUAUUAUGAAUAUGUUAUAUGUCCAGUUUUACACUAAGUGUAACACUAUUAUGAGCUUUAUUAGGUUUUUUAUAAUAUGUUAGGACAUAUCUUGUGAAUGGAUGUAUAAAAUAAAUCAAGGUUAAAACACACAGAUGCUCACACAGUUCAAAGUUAUGACAGCUUGAUACUGAGAGUAGUUCUUGGGGAAGGAGCUUAAUGGCACACACUUGUUGUUUGGAGUGCAUGUUUCCACUAUAAUGGCUUGCUGCAAAACAAAUGCUGAUUACUAUUUUUGCAUUUUACCUUUUUUUGUAAAAAUGAAAAUCCUAUUCAAAUUUCUUUCAGUUAGCAAAAAUAGGUACUAAUGUAGAUCUUUCAUAAAACAAAAUGACGC